rnacentral:lncRNA from 1 species
CAUCCCUUUGGCUCCUGAGGCUUCAUGGGAAACGCGCGUCUGUGGUGACAGGCGCUGAGGUGCAGGGAAGCCAGCGGUGUCAGAUAUUUUGUCUCACCAACAAGAGAAGUAUCUACGAGACUGUGGGAGGAUCACC